rnacentral:lncRNA from 1 species
GCUGUUGAAGUUACUGAAUUAGAGGAUUGAGCUAUUUGAAGCAGUGAGUAAUUUGAUACAGCUUUUAAGUACAUUAAACUUAGUUACUAGUUAAUUAGUAUUGAGGGAAUUGCAUUAAAAAAAAAGAGCUAAAUGGAGCUACUUGGAAUUUCAGCUAAGGAAGUUGCCACUUGAAGCUGCUGCUUGGUGAAAAUUCUGAGCACCCAGAAUUGGAGAGGAGGAAGGAGCCUCUGGGUGUUUUGCAAUUCAGCAAGUCUAGUACAACCUUGAAGUGGAGCCUUGAAUUAAGUGAGGUUUAAGAUAUUUCUGAGCUAUAAGAUCAAUAUAGAAUUUCGAGGAACUAAAUUCAGCAUUGAAUUGGUAGUUGAAGCUGAAAGUAGUACUCGAAACUAUAUAAAACUGCAUAUAUGUAUAUAUAUGUACAAGUUGAUGAAUGAUUAGCGCAACAGCUGAGAUGGAUUGAUCUUAAAUCUGGUUUAAAGUGUUGUUCCUGCUGUGAAGAAGAGUUUAGCUGCUGAAAUUUCGGAACUAUGUAGAAUUCUGCAUAGUGUCGAAUUCAUAUGAGCUGAAAAUAGGCCAAUUGAACCAUGAAUUGAGAUAAUUCUAAUUAAAUCCUGAUUAAGGUUGAGUUACAGCUGAAUUGCUGCUGUAGUAAGUAGAUUUCAGCAAUGAAAUCUGUUAAUUAGGGAGUUUGAAAGUGAAUUAUGAGGCACAAAUACUAAAAUUCAGCAAAAGCUGAAUUUCAGCAUUGAAGUUGAGUGACAUUGAUGAAAUUGAGACUUUUAAACCUUACGAACUUCUAGAUCAGCGUUGAUUACUCUAAAAGAAGUAUGUAUUAUAGAACUAAUUGUUCUAUAUUUAGAAUAAUGGCUCGAGAAGAAGUGAAUUGCUGAAAAGACAGCAAGAGAUCUGAUUUCAGCUUGAUGCUGAAAUCAGCAUUGAGUUGAUAUAUGUAUAUGCGUUGAUAAUUGGACUGGAAAUGCAAGUUUUGCUAAAAAUGACUAUGAUGUCAGUUUAAUCUCUUUUAAUCCUUUAUACAUGAAAGUUAAACAUGCUCGAAAGUCUAAAUUGACUUUUCGACAGGUCGACGACGCGCUAAUUACGGUAGAGACCGUUCUAGUUCGAUUGGCACUGAGUCGCGAGUA